rnacentral:rRNA from 1 species
UACGGGGGGGGCAAGCGUUGUUCGGAAUUACUGGGCGUAAAGGGUUCGUAGGUGGCUGGCUAAGUCAGACGUGAAAUCCCUCAGCUUAACUGGGGAACUGCGUCUGAGACUGGUCAGCUUGAGUGCAGGAGAGGAACGCGGAAUUCCAGGUGUAGCGGUGAAAUGCGUAGAUAUUCGCAAGAACACCAGUGGCGAAGGCGGCUCACUGGCCCAUAACUGACGCUGAGGCACGAAAGCGUGGGGAGCAAACAGG